GAUUAACGCUAGCGGCAGGCAUAAUACAUGCAAGUUGAACGGCAGCACAGGUAGCAAUACUGGGUGGCGAGUGGCGCACGGGUGCGUAACACGUAUGCAACCUACCCUAUACAGGCGAAUAACCUUUAGAAAUGAGGGCUAAUACGCCGUAGUAUUACAGAUGGGCAUCUAUUUGUAAUUAAAGAUUUAUCGGUAUAGGAUGGGCAUGCGUCCCAUUAGUUAGUUGGUAAGGUAACGGCUUACCAAGACGAUGAUGGGUAGGGGAUCUGAGAGGACUUACCCUCACACUGGUACUGAGACACGGACCAGACUCCUACGGGAGGCAGCAGUAAGGAAUAUUGGGCAAUGGCCGCGAGGCUGACCCAGCCAUGCCGCGUGCAGGAAGACGGCCUUAUGGGUUGUAAACUGCUUUUAUACGGGAAUAAUAGAGUGUACGCGUACAUUUAUGCAAGUAUCGUAUGAAUAAGCAUCGGCUAACUCCGUG
rnacentral:rRNA from 1 species